GACGAACGCUGGCGGCGUGCUUAACACAUGCAAGUCGAACGGGCCCGCCCCUGUUUUUGGGGGUGGGUUGAGUGGCGAACGGGUGAGUAUCACGUGAGUAACCUGCCCCCUGCUCCUGGAUAACUGCUUGAAAGGGCGGCUAAUACGGGGUGUGCCGGCUGGUCCGCAUGGGCCUGGUCGGGAUAGUUUCAUCUUCGGGUGUUUCGGUGGGGGAUGGGCUCGCGGCCUAUCAGCUUGUUGGUGGGGUGAUGGCCCACCAAGGCGGUGACGGGUAGCCGGCCUGAGAGGGUGGGCGGCCACACUGGGACUCAGACACGGGCCAGACUCCUGCGGGAGGCGGCAGUGGGGGGUAUUGCACGAUGGGCGGAAGCCUGAUGCAGCGACGUCGCGUGAGGGAUGGAGGCCGUCGGGUUGUGAACCUCUUUCUCCGGUGGUGAAGGCCCUGUCCGUUGCGGCGGGGUUGACGGUAGCCGGGUAUGAAGCGCCGGCUAACUACGUG
rnacentral:rRNA from 1 species